ACGGGGCGCAGCAGGCGCGAAAACUUUACAAUGCGGGAAACCGCGAUAAGGGGACACCGAGUGCCAGCAUUUAUGUUGGCUGUCCACAUGUGUAAACGGCAUGUGUUAGCAAGGGCCGGGCAAGACCGGUGCCAGCCGCCGCGGUAACACCGGCGGCCCGAGUGGUAAUCACUUUUAUUGGGUCUAAAGGGUCCGUAGCCGGUUUGAUCAGUUCUUCGGGAAAUCUGACAGCUCAACUGUUAGGCUUCCGGGGAAUACUGUCAGACUUGGGACCGGGAGAGGUAAGAGGUACUACAGGGGUAGGAGUGAAAUCUUGUAAUCCCUGUGGGACCACCAGUGGCGAAGGCGUCUUACCAGAACGGGUCCGACGGUGAGGGACGAAAGCUGGGGGCACGAACCGGAUUAGAUACCCGGGUAGUCCCAGCCGUAAACGAUGUUCGCUAGGUGUCAGGGGCGGUGCGACCGCUUCUGGUGCCGUAGGGAAGCCGUGAAGCGAACCACCUGGGAAGUACGCCGCAAGGC
rnacentral:rRNA from 1 species